ACGAACCUUCGGGUUAGUGGCGGACGGGUGAGUAACGCGUGAGAAUCUGCCCUCAGGAGGGGGAUAACGGCUGGAAACGGCCGCUAAUACCCCAUAUGCCGAGAGGUGAAAUGAAUUUCGCCUGAGGAUGAGCUCGCGUCUGAUUAACUAGUUGGUGUGGUAAAGGCUCACCAAGGCUUCGAUCAGUAACUGGUCUGAGAGGAUGAUCAGCCACACUGGGACUGAGACACGGCCCACACUCCUACGGGAGGAAGCAGUGGGGAAUUUUCCUCAUUGGGCGCAAGCCUGACGGAGCAACCCCGCGUGAGGGAAGAAGGCCUCUGGGCUGUAAACCUCUUUUUUUCAGGAAGAAAAUCUGACGGUACUUGAUGAAUAACCCACGGUUAUUUUCGUGCCAGCCACCCGGGGGUAAUACGGG
rnacentral:rRNA from 1 species